CUUUCUGAGUAUCAGCAUAUUGCCCCCAACAAUCAUUUUACUGACCUCAGAAUGAUGGAAGGCUAAGUCAACCUUCAGCCAAUCAAGAUUGAAGGAAUCAAAUUCCUGGCAAUGUGAGCAGAGUUGGCCUGCAAUACAGCAUUCUAACAACUGCGCUACCACAGCUCUUGAUAGGCUUCAAAAAUGCAGGACAUUUUAUGCUGCUGAGUGUAACUGAGCUGUGAUUGUUCCUGUCAGAAGUACUCCUGAAUAUCUAACCAACUAAACAAAGAAUGGAUACACCUUGACAGAGUCUGCAGGACCUUUUAGAAGUCUCGCUCUGCCAGUAAUGCUUGAUGCAAUGGAAUCAGAUAUGCCAGUGCACAAAUAUUCAAGCAGCAAGACUAAAAUGGUUACAGGUGGAACGUGGGCCCCACAGAGAAGGAACAUGUUUGUGUACAUCGUGAAAACUUGCCACUUUUACUCUCUAUUGGCAUGGAAGGGGAUAUUUUCUACCUCCUCACAGAGAUGAUUGCAGCCAACUACCCUUUGAGAAAGAGUAGCAAGACCAUCUGCUCUAGAAGUAGGAUAAUAGAGGUCAUCUGGGCUUCCAUCCAUGAGUGAUUCAUGUCUAUCAUGGCUGUUCCCAGUAAAGAUCUUAGCCAUCAAAA